rnacentral:misc_RNA from 1 species
UACGUAGGGUGCAAGCGUUAAUCGGAUUUACUGGGCGUAAAGCGUGCGUAGGCGGCUUCUUAAGUCGGAUGUGACAUCCCUGAGCUUAACUUAGGAAUUGCAUUCGAUACUGGGAAGCUAGAGUAUGGUAGAGGAUGGUAGAAUUCCAGGUGUAGCGGUGAAAUGCGUAGAGAUCUGGAGGAAUACCGAUGGCGAAGGCAGCCAUCUGGCCUAAUACUGACGCUGAGGUACGAAAGUGUGGGUAGCGAACAGG